rnacentral:rRNA from 1 species
CGCUUACCGCUUUGUGAUUCAUGACUGGGGUGAAGUCGUAACAAGGUAACCGUAGGGGAACCUGCGGUUGGAUCACCUCCUUACCUUAAAGAA